rnacentral:rRNA from 1 species
GUCGAGCGGACCGAAGGGAGCUUGCUCCUUUAGGUUAGCGGCGGACGGGUGAGUAACACGUGGGCAACCUGCCCUGCAGACUGGGAUAACUUCGGGAAACCGGAGCUAAUACCGGAUAACACCGAAAACCGCAUGGUUUUCGGUUGAAAGGCGGCUUUUAGCUGUCACUGCAGGAUGGGCCCGCGGCGCAUUAGCUAGUUGGUGAGGUAACGGCUCACCAAGGCGACGAUGCGUAGCCGACCUGAGAGGGUGACCGGCCACACUGGGACUGAGACACGGCCCAGACUCCUACGGGAGGCAGCAGUAGGGAAUCUUCCGCAAUGGACGAAAGUCUGACGGAGCAACGCCGCGUGAGCGAAGAAGGUCUUCGGAUCGUAAAGCUCUGUUGUCAGGGAAGAACAAGUGCCGUUCGAACAGGGCGGUACCUUGACGGUACCUGACGAGGAAGCCACGGCUAACUACGUGCCAGCAGCCGCGGUAAU